GGCGCUGUGGCUUAGUUGGUUAAAGCGUAUGUCUCGUAAACAGGAGAUCCUGGGUUCAAAUCCCAGCGGUGCCU